rnacentral:rRNA from 1 species
GAUGAACGCUGGCGGCGUGCCUAAUACAUGCAAGUCGAGCGAACAGACCAGGAGCUUGCUCCUCUGACGUUAGCGGCGGACGGGAGAGUCACAUGUGGAUAACCUCCCUAUAAUACUGGUAACACUUCGGGAAACCGGCGCUAAUACCGGAUAAUCUCUUGAACCGCAUGGUUCAUUAGUGAAAGACGGUUUUGCUGUCACGUCUAGCUGGUUCCGCGCUGCUUUAGCUAGUUGGUAAGGUAACGGCUUACCAAGGCGACGAUGCGUAACCGACAGGAGUGGGUGAUCGGCCAGACUGGAACGGAGACCCGGUCCAGUCUCCUACGGGAGGCAGCAGUAGGGAAUCUGCCGCAAUGGGCGGGAGCCUGACGGAGCAACGCCGCAUGAGUGAUGAAGGUCUUCGGAUCGGAAAACUCUGUUAUUAGGGAAGAACAAAUGUGUGAGUGACUAUGCACGUCUUUACGGUACCUGAGCAGAGAGGCACGGCUAACUUCGUG